rnacentral:rRNA from 1 species
UAGGGAAUCUUCGGCAAUGGGGGGAACCCUGACCGAGCAACGCCGCGUGAGUGAAGAAGGAUUUCGGUUCGUAAAACUCUGUUGUUAGAGAAGAACAGCGCAUAGAGUAACUGUUAUGCGUGUGACGGUAUCUAACCAGAAAGCCACGGCUAACUACGUGCCAGCAGCCGCGGUAAUACGUAGGUGGCAAGCGUUGUCCGGAUUUAUUGGGCGUAAAGCGAGCGCAGGCGGUCAAUUAAGUCUGAUGUGAAAGCCCCCGGCUCAACCGGGAGGGUCAUUGGAAACUGGUUGACUUGAGUGCAGAAGAGGAGAGUGGAAUUCCAUGUGUAGCGGUGAAAUGCGUAGAUAUAUGGAGGAACACCAGUGGCGAAGGCGACUCUCUGGUCUGUAACUGACGCUGAGGCUCGAAAGCGUGGGUAGCAAACAGG